GGCCGUUAGGCCUGACAACAUGCACACGGUUAAGGCAUUGCCACCUACUUCGUGGCAUCUAACCAUCGUUUUU
ensembl:snRNA